rnacentral:sRNA from 1 species
CUCUAGCCCCGACAGCAGUGGCAUCCUUUUACUUUUUGACUAAAAAAAGGAAAAGAUAAAACGGAUGGCGGGACCAAAC